UGCCAGCCGCCGCGGUAAUACGGAGGGUGCGAGCGUUAUCCGGAAUCACUGGGUUUAAAGGGUGCGCAGGCGGUGCGCUAAGUCAGGGGUGAAAGGCCGUGGCUCAACCACGGGACUGCCCUUGAUACUGGCGUGCUAGGAUUGGCGCGAGGCAGGCGGAACGCGGCAUGUAGCGGUGAAAUGCAUAGAUAUGCCGCAGAACACCGAUUGCGAAGGCAGCCUGCCAGAGCCAUAUCGACGCUGAGGCACGAAAGCGUGGGGAGCGAACAGGAUUAGAUA
rnacentral:rRNA from 1 species